CCACACACUGAAUCUGAAACCAAUCUGGGCUGGGGGAAAUGUCUCAAAAACAAACUGACAAACUUGACAGUGUCAGCAUCUAAGAACUUCAUUACUAGGUCAGGGUCUCUGCCUGGAACUCAGAGAUCCGUUCACCUCAGUGCUGAGAUUAAAGGUGUGUGCCACCACGCCCACCCAGCUAAAACUUUUUUUUUCUUUUGGCAUAAAGCAGUUGUUUCUGAGUUUAGCUCCACUUUAGAGCUUUGAUGUAUUCCAAAGGCAACGAUGUCACUAGCGAGUGACCGGGACGCCCUAAACUGUAUAUGUUCCCCAAGGCGU
rnacentral:lncRNA from 1 species